rnacentral:rRNA from 1 species
CCCUUAGAUGUUCUGGGCCGCACGCGCGCUACACUGAUUCAUGCAACAAGUUUUGUCCUUGGCUGAUAGGCCUGGGUAAUCUUUGAACGUGAAUCGUGAUGGGGAUAGAUGAUUGCAAUUAUUCAUCUUCAACGAGGAAUUCCUAGUAAACGCAAGUCAUCAGCUUGCAUUGAUUACGUCCCUGCCCUUUGUACACACCGCCCGUCGCACCUACCGAUUGAAUGGUCCGGUGAAAUCUUCGGAUCUGAGAGAUGUCUGAUUAAUUUCGGACGCCUUUUGGAAAAGUUGCUUAAACCUUACCGUUUAGAGGAAGGUAAAGUCGUAACA